ACACCAUCAGUUUCAGCACAGAAGUCCAAAUCAUGCAAUUGCCAACUUGUAGCUGUUUCAGGUCAAUGAGAUAUCAGGCUGAUAUAAUUUAAUAUUGAUUGUAAAUGAGAUCAUGUUAGCAAUACACUUCCUUUCGAGGUAGGGGGAAAAAACUGCCGACUUAAGUUCAAAUUUGAAGAACAUUCAAUUCAUACCAUAGUACUCAUAACCUGUUAAUAGUACAUCUGGACGGCUCUCCCUCUCUCUCUCUCUCCUGUAAACUGCUCUUGAAACUGGACAAUGCAGCAGUGACUUGCAGUAAUCACUUUCAAGUCAGGUCUUAAUGAUGCUGGAUCAGAUUCAUGCUUGACCACUCUGCAGGCAUAACAAACAAACGCAUCCAAUAUUGCACCUCUUAUCCAGGACUGGGCAAAGAAUUCACCAAAGUGUAUCUGUUUAAUCAUUAUCCUAAGCUGAAAUUAUCUUUCAAGGCUGUUCUUUUAUGUUCUGCAGACACCGAGGGGAAGAGUUUCUUCGUUGUGAUAAUGUGUACUCAUCAAUCCUUCGUAUGGUGGUCAAAAUACAGGUUACAAUGAACACUGCUAUUAGUGAACAUGUGAUGGAGAAACUUGGCUUCCUAGAAUUCCACAACAAUCCUGAUGUUUCCAGAGUAAGUGAUGUAAACCCUUCUCGAGAUUGCCUCCGCCCCAAGAAGUCUGUAAUCGAUUUCGAAAAAGAUGUGACAGAUUUGAUUCCAUGACUUGAAGCAUUGCCUUUUUCAUCACUAACGUUCUCGCCAACUUUGCUUUUGAAUGUCCC
rnacentral:misc_RNA from 1 species